AUUGAACGCUGGCGGCAGGCCUAACACAUGCAAGUCGAGCGAGCGGCGGACGGGUGAGUAAUGUCUGGGAAACUGCCUGAUGGAGGGGGAUAACUACUGGAAACGGUAGCUAAUACCGCAUACCAUCAGAUGUGCCCAGAUGGGAUUAGCUAGUAGGGGGGGUAACGGCUCCCCUAGGCGACGAUCCCUAGCUGGUCUGAGAGGAUGACCAGCAAAAAUGGAACGGAGACACGGUCCAGACUCCUAAGGGAGGCAGCAGUGGGGAAGAUUGAACAAUGGGCGCAAGCAUGAUGCAGCCAUGCCGCGUGUGUGAAGAAGGCCUGCGGGUUUUAAAGCACUUGCAGCGGGGAGGCGUUACCCGCAGAAGAAGCACCGGCUAACUCCGUGCCAGCAGCCGCGGUAAUAC
rnacentral:rRNA from 1 species